AGAGUUUGAUUCCCUGGCUCAGGACGAACGCUGGCGGCGUGCUUAACACAUGCAAGUCGAACGGUGAUGUCAGAGCUUGCUCUGGCGGAUCAGUGGCGAACGGGUGAGUAACACGUGAGUAACCUGCCCCCGACUCUGGGAUAACUGCUAGAAAUGGUAGCUAAUACCGGAUAUGACGACUGGCCGCAUGGUCUGGUCGUGGAAAGAAUUUCGGUUGGGGAUGGACUCGCGGCCUAUCAGGUUGUUGGUGAGGUAAUGGCUCACCAAGCCUACGACGGGUAGCCGGCCUGAGAGGGUGACCGGCCACACUGGGACUGAGACACGGCCCAGACUCCUACGGGAGGCAGCAGUGGGGAAUAUUGCACAAUGGGCGCAAGCCUGAUGCAGCAACGCCGCGUGAGGGAUGACGGCCUUCGGGUUG
rnacentral:rRNA from 1 species